rnacentral:tRNA from 1 species
GCCGGUGUAGCUCAGGGGUAGAGCAGCUGUUUCGUAAACAGCUGGUCGUGAGUUCGAGUCUCACCGCCGGCU